AAAAACAUAGCCUUUAGCCAAACAAGUAUUAAAGGUCUAGCCUGCCCAGUGAGCUAUUUCAACGGCCGCGGUAUCCUAACCGUGCAAAGGUAGCGUAAUCAUUUGUCCUCUAAAUAGGGACUUGUAUGAACGGCUAACUGAGGGCCCAACUGUCUCCUUAGGCCAAUCAAUGAAACUGAUCUUUCAGUACAAAAGCUGAAAUAAAUACAUAAGACGAGAAGACCCUGUGGAGCUUUAAACUCAUACUAUAAACCCCCAUCCAACCCUAAGGGAAAAUCCCCCGCCCAUAGUAUAAAGUUUUUAGUUGGGGCGACUUUGGAAUAAAACAAAACUUCCAUGCCAGGGGACCUCCCCUAAAAAGGCCGACAUGCCAAAAUAAUACUCAUUGACCCAGCCUGUCUGAUCAACGAACCAAGUUACCCCAGGGAUAACAGCGCCAUCCUCUUCAAGAGUUCCUAUCGACAAGAGGGUUUACGACCUCGAUGUUGGAUCAGGACACCCCGGUGGUGCAGCCGCUACCAAAGGUUCGUUUGUUCAACGAUUAAUAGU
rnacentral:rRNA from 1 species